rnacentral:ncRNA from 1 species
AACCGCCGUAUACGGGACCGUACGUACGGUGGUGUGAGAGGUCGGGGGCUAGCAGCCCCCUCCUACUCGAU